UACGUAGGGUGCGAGCGUUAAUCGGAAUUACUGGGCGUAAAGCGUGCGCAGGCGGCGCGUUAAGACAGGUGUGAAAGCCCCGAGCUUAACUUGGGAAUUGCGCUUGUGACUGGCGUGCUGGAGUGUGGCAGAGGGAGGUGGAAUUCCACGUGGAGCGGUGAAAUGCGCAGAUAUCAGGAGGAACACCCGUAGCGAAGGCGGCACUCUGGGCCGGAACUGACGCUGAGGAGCGAAAGCGUGGGGAGCGAACAGG
rnacentral:rRNA from 1 species